UCCUACGGGGGGCAGCAGUAAGGGAUAUUGGUCAAUGGGGGAAACCCUGAACCAGCAACGCCGCGUGAGGGAAGACGGUUUUCGGAUUGUAAACCUCUGUCCUCUGUGAAGAUGAUGACGGUAGCAGAGGAGGAAGCUCCGGCUAACUACGUGCCAGCAGCCGCGGUAAUACGUAGGUGGCAAGCGUUGUCCGGAUUUACUGGGUGUAAAGGGCGUGUAGCCGGGCUGACAAGUCAGAUGUGAAAUCCGGGGGCUCAACCCCCGAACUGCAUUUGAAACUGUUGGUCUUGAGUAUCGGAGAGGCA
rnacentral:rRNA from 1 species